rnacentral:rRNA from 1 species
GCGACGGCGGAGUUCGGCACCUCGAUGUCGGCUCACCACAUCCCGGAGCUGGAGAAGGUUCCAAGGGUUUGGCUGUUCGCCAAUUAAAGUGGUACGCGAGCUGGGUUCAGACCGUUCAGGACGUGGAGCGUGAAGCGCAUAGCGUGGAACGUAGGAAAAAAUCUUACGAAACGCGCUGUACGUUAUGCGUUGCGCGAAUUGAACAGUCUGAACCCGAUUGAGAGAGAAAGUUAUCCAAAUGAAAUAUCAGGUUUUUUCGUCAAAAAAAGAAAAAGAAACAACCAAUCACGGCGGUCGUAUGGUAGCUCGCUAAAGCGACUACACUUGGAUUUUCUAAAGCGGAGUACCGCUAAGAAAAUCCGGGCACAGGAAUGCAUGCGAAGAAUUCAACUGAUAUCGGUAAAACCCCUCUGGGGGCGAUACCGAGGGAAUGGUUCGACGUUGCUCACCACGAGCGAUUAAGAAUCGACCCGUAGAGACUGAAUGUUGAACAUCCAGAACGGAUGAAGUUACAGUCCGAUCCUUCCGGUAACGGAAGAAAACACAGUGCGUGAGACAGGUUGGUCUCCUAUCUACUAUGAGCGUUGAUUCUUGAGGAGAGCCUUUUCUAGUACGAGAGGACCGAAAAGGACUGACCUCUGGUCUGCCUGUUGUUCCGCCAGGAGCAUUGCAGGGUAGCUAUGUCGGGAAGGGAUAACCGCUGAAAGCAUCUAAGCGGGAAGCCUCCUCCAAGAUGAGGAAUCGUUAAGGCCCGUGAAAGAUGAUCACGUUGAUAGGCCCGAGGUGUACAUGCAGUAAUGCAUUGAGCCGAAGGGUACUAAUUCGCCGAUCUUCUGCGGGGA